GAUGAACGCUGGCGGCGUGCCUAAUACAUGCAAGUCGAGCGAACAGACGAGGAGCUUGCUCCUUUGACGUUAGCGGCGGACGGGUGAGUAACACGUGGAUAACCUACCUAUAAGACUGGGAUAACUUCGGGAAACCGGAGCUAAUACCGGAUAACAUGUUGAACCGCAUGGUUCAACAGUGAAAGACGGUCUUGCUGUCACUUAUAGAUGGAUCCGCGCCGCAUUAGCUAGUUGGUAAGGUAACGGCUUACCAAGGCAACGAUGCGUAGCCGACCUGAGAGGGUGAUCGGCCACACUGGAACUGAGACACGGUCCAGACUCCUACGGGAGGCAGCAGUAGGGAAUCUUCCGCAAUGGGCGAAAGCCUGACGUAGCAACGCCGCGUGAGUGAAGAAGGUCUUCGGAUCGUAAAACUCUGUUAUUAGGGAAGAACAAAUGUGUAAGUAACUAUGCACGUCUUGACGGUACCUAAUCAGAAAGCCACGGCUAACUACGUG
rnacentral:rRNA from 1 species